rnacentral:tRNA from 1 species
GCCCGUUUGGUGUAGUGGUUAGCAUCCUGGUUUUCGGCGCCAGUCGUCCUGGGUUCAAAUCCCAGAGCGGGUU